UGGGGAAUUUUGCACAAUGGGGGAAACCCUGAUGCAGCGACGCCGCGUGAUUUAGAAGGCCUUCGGGUUGUAAAAAUCUUUUCUAUGGGAAGAAAAUGACAGUACCAUAGGAAUAAGGACCGGCUAAUUACGUGCCAGCAGCCGCGGUAAUACGUAAGGUCCGAGCGUUGUCCGGAAUCAUUGGGCGUAAAGGGUACGUAGGCGGGUAAGCAAGUUAGAAGUGAAAUCCUGUAGCUCAACUACAGUAAGCUUUUAAAACUGCUCAUCUUGAGAUAUGGAAGGGAAAGUGGAAUUCCUAGUGUAGCGGUGAAAUGCGCGGAUAUUAGGAGGAAUACCGGUGGCGAAGGCGACUUUCUGGCCAUAAUCUGACGCUGAGGUACGAAAGCGUGGGUAGCAAACAGG
rnacentral:rRNA from 1 species